rnacentral:rRNA from 1 species
UACGUAGGGUGCAAGCGUUGUCCGGAAUUACUGGGCGUAAAGAGCUCGUAGGUGGUUUGUCGCGUUGUUCGUGAAAACUCACAGCUCAACUGUGGGCGUGCGGGCGAUACGGGCAGACUAGAGUACUGCAGGGGAGACUGGAAUUCCUGGUGUAGCGGUGAAAUGCGCAGAUAUCAGGAGGAACACCGGUGGCGAAGGCGGGUCUCUGGGCAGUAACUGACGCUGAGGAGCGAAAGCGUGGGGAGCAAACAGG